AACGAACGCUGGCGGCAGGCCUAACACAUGAAGUCGAGCGCGGACUUCGGUUCUAGCGGCGGACGGGUGAGUAACGCGUGGGAAUGUGCCCUUCUCUACGGAAUAGCCCUGGGAAACUGGGAGUAAUACCGUAUACGCCCUAUUGGGGAAAGAUUUAUCGGAGAAGGAUCAGCCCGCGUUGGAUUAGGUAGUUGGUGGGGUAAUGGCCUACCAAGCCGACGAUCCAUAGCUGGUUUGAGAGGAUGAUCAGCCACACUGGGACUGAGACACGGCCCAGACUCCUACGGGAGGCAGCAGUGGGGAAUCUUAGACAAUGGGGGCAACCCUGAUCUAGCCAUGCCGCGUGAGUGAUGAAGGCCUUAGGGUUGUAAAGCUCUUUCAGCUGGGAAGAUAAUGACGGUACCAGCAGAAGAAGCCCCGGCUAACUCCGUG
rnacentral:rRNA from 1 species